UACGUAGGGUGCGAGCGUUAUCCGGAAUUAUUGGGCGUAAAGAGCUCGUAGGCGGUUUGUCACGUCUGCUGUGAAAGCCCGGGGCUUAACCCCGGGUGUGCAGUGGGUACGGGCUGACUGGAGUGCAGUAGGGGAGACUGGAAUUCCUGGUGUAGCGGUGGAAUGCGCAGAUAUCAGGAGGAACACCGAUGGCGAAGGCAGGUCUCUGGGCUGUUACUGACGCUGAGGAGCGAAAGCAUGGGGAGCGAACAGG
rnacentral:rRNA from 1 species